UACGGGGGGGGCAAGCGUUGUUCGGAAUUACUGGGCGUAAAGGGCUCGUAGGCGGCCAACUAAGUCAGACGUGAAAUCCCUCGGCUUAACCGGGGAACUGCAUCUGAUACUGGAUGGCUUGAGUUCGGGAGAGGGAUGCGGAAUUCCAGGUGUAGCGGUGAAAUGCGUAGAUAUCUGGAGGAAUACCGAUGGCGAAGGCAGCCCCCUGGGAUAACACUGACGCUCAUGCACGAAAGCGUGGGGAGCAAACGGG
rnacentral:rRNA from 1 species